AACGAACGCUGGCGGUAUGCUUAACACAUGCAAGUCGAACGAACAAAAUUGGGGCUUGCUCCAAUUUUAGUGAGUGGCAAACGGGUGAGUAACACGUGGGAAUCUACCUAUCAGUACGGAAUAACAUUUGGAAACAGAUGCUAAUACCGUAUAUUCUCCAAGGAGGAAAGAUUUAUCGCUGAUAGAUGAGCCCGCGCAAGAUUGGGUAGUUGGUAGGGUAAUGGCCUACCAAGCCUACGAUCUUUAGCUGGUCUGAGAGGAUGAUCAGCCACACUGGGACUGAGACACGGCCCAGACUCCUACGGGAGGCAGCAGUGGGGAAUAUUGGACAAUGAGCGAAAGCCUGAUCCAGCAAUACCGCGUGAAUGAUGAAGGCCUUAGGGUUGUAAAGUUCUUUUAGUUGGAAAGAUAAUGACGGUACCAACAGAAAAAGCCCCGGCUAACUCCGUGCCAGCCGCCGCCGUAA
rnacentral:rRNA from 1 species